rnacentral:misc_RNA from 1 species
CGCCGCGCCACGUCACCCCCACCCCGCCUGGGGUUGGGGGCCAUGGGGCGGAGAUUGGCCUCCCGUGCGGCAUCGGUGCGCGGAUGGCCCAAAUGAGACCCCUGGGCGACGCACGCCACGACCAUUGGUGGUUGAUCUCUCAGCUCACGUGAGGUCGUGCUCCGCGGCGUCGCCGGCGAGGGCAUACGAACGGACCCAAUCGCGCAAGCGCCAGCAUCC